GAUGAACGCUAGCGACAGGCUUAACACAUGCAAGUCGAGGGGCAGCAUAAAAGUAGCAAUACUUUGGUGGCGACCGGCGCACGGGUGAGUAACGCGUAUGCAACCUACCUAUCAGAGGGGGAUAACCCGGCGAAAGUCGGACUAAUACCGCAUAAAACAGGGGCACCGCAUGGUGAUAUUUGUUAAAAAUUUAUUGCUGAUAGAUGGGCAUGCGUUCCAUUAGGUAGUUGGAGAGGUAACGGCUCACCAAGCCCACGAUGGAUAGGGGAACUGAGAGGUUGGUCCCCCACACUGGUACUGAGACACGGACCAGACUCCUACGGGAGGCAGCAGUGAGGAAUAUUGGUCAAUGGGCGAGAGCCUGAACCAGCCAAGUCGCGUGAAGGAAGAAGGAUCUAUGGUUCGUAAACUUCUUUUGCAGGGGAAUAAAGUGCAGGACGUGCCCUGUUUGUAUGUACCCUGAGAAUAAGGAUCGGCUAACUCCGUGCCAGCAGCCGCGGUAAACUCG
rnacentral:rRNA from 1 species